GCGGCCCUCGGGGCGCAGGACCACACCAUCUGCGCAGCCUGCACCCUCGCGGCCCGGUAAACUUGACAGUUUCUUAUAGAGAACCUUGUGUCUCACUGUUGUCUCCUUCCUGGCUGGGGUUAUCACAUGGCAUAUCCAACUGUGAGUGUGGGAAGAUGGCAUAAUCCUCUGACUGUGUCAGAGUCUUAGGAAAUUGUGACUGUUAUAAGAUGGCACAAUCUCUUCCCUGAUGUGUGUCAAGUUCUUAGAAAAUUGUGGUGCUGGAGAGUCAGAAUAGCUGAGUGACUGAGUGCACAAUCCCUAAAGUGCAAUUUAUGAGCUGAGUGACCUCAGGAUUCCAUGGAAAGCUUGUGUUUACCCUCAAUAGUUAGAGACGUACAAGGAUGGAGAGGGAACAGAGCCAUCUUCCCAGAACCAACUUCUGCCAGAGGAGUCCCAUGAUAAUCCCAGCCAAAAGAACGAAAACAUGAGUAAUGGCUGUGACAUAAGAAAAUCCUAAGAGAGAAAACAGAGAAAAAGUUUUACGUGAGCGCCACAUUCCAGUUUGCAGAGUUAAGAUAGAUGAGGACAUUCAUUAAAUUCAUGUAUUAAUUCUAAUUCAAGAUGCACUGAAUUUCCAUCAUGUGAAUCAGAUGUUUUAUUUAUUUCUCUCUCAUUGUAUGGAUAAUGUCUAUAACUAGAGAAUGAGACUCAAUCCUACCUUUUCUUCCAAACUGUCUAUCUUCACUAGGGUGGAGUUCUUGUCUAUGCAGUCCUUUCUACUGUUAGCCCAGGUUUUCUCCUCAUUUGUUGUAAAAUAGUAGCAACUAUUUUGGUACCAUUGCCACAUCUUAGGACAUGGAUUACAUCUGUGGUCUGAAAAGGAAAUUAUACCCAAUAAUAUAAACUGAAGACUCUAGAGUGACUGGAGAAGGCUUUGAAACAAAAUCAUGUAAUUGAACAAUAGGGACUGAGAGCCUGCACCCUGAAAGCAUACUGCUUUAGAAGCCUCUGAAAAAAAAGUGACCCCUGGUUAUGGGUUGGGGCAACAGGGAUUCUCUUUUCAUGGCUUAGUCUUCUGACCUCAGAAUUACCAGCUAUGCCUUUAAGCUUUCAGAGCAACAUGAUCACCUAGAAAUAGUUAAUAAAAUGAGGGGUUGAAGUAUCCAGAUUGAUAUCAUUCCAAGAUACUUCCCAAAUUUGCCUGUGGUUUCAAAAAUAUUAAAUGAAUUUGUAUAUUUC